GUUCAGUUCUGUAGACACAUCUGACUUCUCUCUUGUCUUUCAGAGGGGAGAGUGUAGUCCCUAAGGCAACAACAGUGACUAUGGAGUCAGGGAAAAUGACACAUCCGCCAUCUUCUUUCUUUGUGAGCUAGAAUUGAUUCAUUCACUGUGACCUUCUCUGAUUAUGAGAGCGGAUCAGUAGGAUGUGGGGGAAAAAGACAUUCACCUGAUAUCUUUGAAGUCAGAAGCAUGCUGAGGAGAUGGAAGCAUCCUAUGCAAGGCAAGGAAGAAGGCCUUCCAUAUACAGGAUACAUCUAAUGGUGAAGCAC
rnacentral:lncRNA from 1 species